CACAGAGUGGGAGGUAGCUUCCGGUUUUGCGGGUGGGCGGAGAAGGCAGAGCUAGUCAAACCGAAACCGAGCGUGCGCAGUGGCGGCCGACGUGGCCCAGGUUUAUCUGGGCUCCCGCAUUUUUAAAGUGACCUUCUCGGACAAAGGGGCAGGAGUCUGAGGAGGGCGACCUGGAAAGGUUUUAGCCUUCUCAAGAACUUCUCAGUCCCGGGCAUGGUGGCACACGCCUGUAAUCCCAGCAUUAGGGAGGCUGGGGCAAGAGGAUCGAGUUCAAGGCCAGUCUGGGCUGCAUAGUGAGUUCAAGGACACCCUGAACUACACAGCAAGACCUUGUCUCGAAAAAAUAGGAACCCAGUCGCAGGCAAAUUGGGAUAGCUGGUCACCUUGGAAAAAGCAAUCUGAGGCCAGCAGAAGUGAGACCUUGAUUUAUGGAGAGGCUCUUGGUGCCAGUGGCCCCACGCCCCUGCAGUUACUUCAUUCCUGGGCUUCGUGGGGAUUUGAGGAGCUCAGAGUUACGGAGGAACAAUAAAUUCCCGGGCAGCUGUACCUCCACCCUGAACUUUGGGAUUCCAGAAAGGCACAACUGUUGAAGGUCUUAGAGGUUUUCAUGGCCUACUUCUGACUUCUCUUUCCAAGUUUUCUUCACCCUCAGACCUUCGUUUUUCUGAUUUGUUGCCGUUUGUCCGGAGAGUGACAUAUUGAUCUUCACCAGACCUUCUGCUCCAUAUUUAUAUUUGUACCUUAUCACUUACAAAUGUGUUUACAGAAACUGUUCAUCUCGUUCUCAUGAGAAGAUUGAAAUAAUUGUUCCCAUUUUAUAGAUUUUCAUGGUCUUCUUUUUUUGUUGUUGUUGUCCAAACAAACACUGCAGAUCUUGGUCUUCUGAUAGGAGGAAAGAUGAGCCACCUUGGUGGGAAUGUUGCCCCAGGAACCCGUUUUUCCCCUAGCGCUGGAAAUCAAGUCUAGAAUUAAAAAUAAAAACCAGAAAGCAUUACUGUAUAUUGUAUCUACUGCCAUUUGUGAAGUCAACUAUAUUUUAGUGUCUUAUAA